UGAUCAUAGUUUAUUUUGGUGUAAGCAUUAAAGGGCAAUGCAUACCAAAUCCAAAUGUUACCCCAGGACCAAAUGAUCCAGCAUUUCCAACAUUACCCGACGCUUUUUCAACACGAUUAGAAGCAAACUUGAAGGACUUGGGUGAAACCAUUACUGCGGAGAUAUACUAUGAUUAUGGUAAAAAUUUUGCAACAGUUAGAAAGACAUCAAAUGGAGGACAGACUACGACAUUGCUUGAUUAUAACAAUAAUCAGAUGUUCCUAGUAGAUACGUCUCAGCAUUGUGAAGUCCAGAACUUAAGCUCAAAUCUGGACACGGUUAUAUUUGGUACUGCAGCGAAAAGCGGCGGUGUUUCUCAUAUCCUUACAACGAAUGGAGUGUUGCACUUUAUGAAACAGAGC